rnacentral:tRNA from 1 species
AGCCUGCUAGCUCAGUCGGUUAGAGCGUCGUGCUAAUAACGCGAAGGUAGAAGGUUCGAUCCCUGCGCAGGCCA